rnacentral:rRNA from 1 species
AUUGAACGCUGGCGGCAGGCCUAACACAUGCAAGUCGAGCGGAUGAAGGGAGCUUGCUCCUGGAUUCAGCGGCGGACGGGUGAGUAAUGCCUAGGAAUCUGCCUGGUAGUGGGGGAUAACGUCCGGAAACGGGCGCUAAUACCGCAUACGUCCUGAGGGAGAAAGUGGGGGAUCUUCGGACCUCACGCUAUCAGAUGAGCCUAGGUCGGAUUAGCUAGUUGGUGGGGUAAAGGCCUACCAAGGCGACGAUCCGUAACUGGUCUGAGAGGAUGAUCAGUCACACUGGAACUGAGUCACGGUCCAGACUCCUAUGGGAGGCAGCAGUGGGGAAUAUUGGACAAUGGGCGAAAGCCUGAUCCAGCCAUGCCGCGUGUGUGAAGAAGGUCUUCGGAUUGUAAAGCACUUUAAGUUGGGAGGAAGGGCAGUAAGUUAAUACCUUGCUGUUUUGACGUUACCAACAGAAUAAGCACCGGCUAACUUCGUG